rnacentral:rRNA from 1 species
AUUGAACGCUGGCGGCAGGCCUAACACAUGCAAGUCGAGCGGAUGAAGGGAGCUUGCUCCUGGAUUCAGCGGCGGACGGGUGAGUAAUGCCUGGGAAUCUGCCUGGUAGUGGGGGAUAACGUCCGGAAACGGGCGCUAAUACCGCAUACGUCCUGAGGGAGAAAGUGGGGGAUCUUCGGACCUCACGCUAUCAGAUGAGCCUAGGUCGGAUUAGCUAGUUGGUGGGGUAAAGGCCUACCAAGGCGACGAUCCGUAACUGGUCUGAGAGGAUGAUCAGUCACACUGGAACUGAGACACGGUCCAGAGUCCUAGGGGAGGCAGCAGUGGGGAAUAUUGGACACUGGGCGAAAGCCUGAUCCAGCCAUGCAGCGUGUGUGAAGCAGGUCUUCGGAUUGUAAAGCACUUUAAGUUGGGAGGAAGGGCAGUAAGUUAAUACCUUGCUGUUUUGACGUUACCAACAGAAUAAGCACCGGCUAACUUCGUG